GUUGGUGUAGCUCAGUGGUAGAGUGCAUGCUUAUGAAUGAUGUCCUGGGUUCAAUCCCCAGCUUAUCU